rnacentral:tRNA from 1 species
GUCCGGGUGGUGGAACUGGUAGACACGCAGGCUUGAGGUGCCUGUAGAAAUAAAAUUCUGUGGGGGUUCAAGUCCCCCCCCGGGCA